UAAGUAUAACCAUGCAAAAUAUUACGUCAAUCCGUUGCUCCGUUGCCCCGUGAUUGUAGAACAAACCAAGAAACAAACGAACAAACAUACUUUCGCAUUUAU